UACGGAGGGGGCUAGCGUUGUUCGGAAUUACUGGGCGUAAAGGGCGCGUAGGCGGCCAGCACAAGUCAGUUGUGAAAUCUCCGGGCUUAACUCGGAAAGGUCAACUGAUACUGUGCGGCUAGAGUGCAGAAGGGGCAACUGGAAUUCUCGGUGUAGCGGUGAAAUGCGUAGAUAUCGAGAGGAACACCUGCGGCGAAGGCGGGUUGCUGGGCUGACACUGACGCUGAUGCGCGAAAGCCAGGGGAGCGAACGGG
rnacentral:rRNA from 1 species